rnacentral:rRNA from 1 species
AACGAACGCUGGCGGCAGGCUUAACACAUGCAAGUCGAACGCCCCGCAAGGGGAGUGGCAGACGGGUGAGUAACGCGUGGGAACGUACCUUUCGCUUCGGAAUAUUCCCGGGAAACUGGGAGCAAUGCCGAAUACGCCGUAUUGGGAAAGAUUUAUCGGCGAAAGAUCGGCCCGCGUUAGAUUAGCUAGUUGGCGGUGUA